CCUACGGAGGCAGCAGUAGGGAAUCUUCCGCAAUGGACGAAAGUCUGACGGAGCAACGCCGCGUGAGUGAUGAAGGCUUUCGGGUCGUAAAACUCUGUUGUUAGGGAAGAACAAGUGCUAGUUGAAUAAGCUGGCACCUUGACGGUACCUAACCAGAAAGCCACGGCUAACUACGUGCCAGCAGCCGCGGUAAU
rnacentral:rRNA from 1 species